ACACUCCUGCGGGAGGCAGCAGUGGGGAAUUUUGGACAAUGGGCGAAAGCCUGAUCCAGCCAUGCCGCGUGCAGGAUGAAGGCCUUCGGGUUGUAAACUGCUUUUGUACGGAACGAAACGGCCUUUUCUAAUAAAGAGGGCUAAUGACGGUACCGUAAGAAUAAGCACCGGCUAACUACGUGCCAGCAGCCGCGGUAAUACGUAGGGUGCAAGCGUUAAUCGGAAUUACUGGGCGUAAAGCGUGCGCAGGCGGUUAUGUAAGACAGUUGUGAAAUCCCCGGGCUCAACCUGGGAACUGCAUCUGUGACUGCAUAGCGAGAGUACGGUAGAGGGGGAUGGAAUUCCGCGUGUAGCAGUGAAAUGCGUAGAUAUGCGGAGGAACACCGAUGGCGAAGGCAAUCCCCUGGACCUGUACUGACGCUCAUGCACGAAAGCGUGGGGAGCAAACAGGAUUAGAAACCCCAGUAGUCCC
rnacentral:rRNA from 1 species